rnacentral:rRNA from 1 species
UGCGUAGGCGGCCUGGCAGGUUGGGUGUGAAAGCCCUCGGCUCAACCGAGGAAUUGCGCUCAAAACCGUCAGGCUUGAGGGAGAUAGAGGUGAGCGGAACUGAUGGUGGAGCGGUGAAAUGCGUUGAUAUCAUCAGGAACACCGGUGGCGAAAGCGGCUCACUGGGUCUCUACUGACGCUGAGGCACGAAAGCUAGGGGAGCGAACG